rnacentral:rRNA from 1 species
UACAGAGGUCUCAAGCGUUGUUCGGAUUCAUUGGGCGUAAAGGGUGCGUAGGUGGCGCCGUAAGUCAGGUGUGAAAUUUCGGAGCUUAACUCCGAAACUGCAUUUGAUACUGCGGUGCUUGAGGACUGGAGAGGAGACUGGAAUUUACGGUGUAGCAGUGAAAUGCGUAGAGAUCGUAAGGAAGACCAGUGGCGAAGGCGGGGUCGUCUGGACAGUUCCUGACACUGAGGCACGAAGGCCAGGGGAGCAAACGGG